GGCCUGCGGCGCCUACCAUGCAGUCGAGCGCGCCCUUCGGGGUGAGCGGCGGACGGGUUAGUAACGCGUGGGAACGUGCCCUUCUCUAAGGAAUAGCCACUGGAAACGGUGAGUAAUACCUUAUACGCCCUUCGGGGGAAAGAUUUAUCGGAGAAGGAUCGGCCCGCGUUAGAUUAGGUAGUUGGUGGGGUAAUGGCCUACCAAGCCUACGAUCUAUAGCUGGUUUUAGAGGAUGAUCAGCAACACUGGGACUGAGACACGGCCCAGACUCCUACGGGAGGCAGCAGUGGGGAAUCUUGGACAAUGGGCGCAAGCCUGAUCCAGCCAUGCCGCGUGAGUGAUGAAGGCCUUAGGGUCGUAAAGCUCUUUCGCCUGUGAUGAUAAUGACAGUAGCAGGUAAAGAAACCCCGGCUAACUCCGUGCCAGCAGCCGCGGUAAUACGGAGGGGGUUAGCGUUGUUCGGAAUUACUGGGCGUAAAGCGCGCGUAGGCGGACUGGAAAGUUGGGGGUGAAAUCCCAGGGCUCAACCCUGGAACUGCCUCCAAAACUCCCAGUCUUGAGUUCGAGAGAGGUGAGUGGAAUUCCGAGUGUAGAGGUGAAAUUCGUAGAUAUUCGGAGGAACACCAUUGGCGAAGGCGGCUCACUGGCUCGAUACUGACGCUGAGGUGAGAAAGUGUGGUGAGCAAACAGGAUUAGAUACCCUGGUAGUCCUCACCGUAAACGAUGAAUGCCAGACGUCGGCUAGCAUGCUAGUAGGUGUCACACCUAACGGAUUAAGCAUUCCGCCUGGGGAGUAAGGCCGCAAGGUUAAAACUCAAAGGAAUUGGCGGGGGCCCGCACAAGCGGUGGAGCAUGUGGUUUAAUUCGAAGCAACGCGCAGAACCUUACCAACCCUUGACAUCCUAGGACCGCCAGAGAGAUCUGGUUUUCACUUCGGUGACCGAGUGACAGGUGCUGCAUGGCUGUCGUCAGCUCGUGUCGUGAGAUGUUCGGUUAAGUCCGGCAACGAGCGCAACCCACAUCCUUAGUUGCCAGCAGUUCGGCUGGGCACUCUAAGGAAACUGCCCGUGAUAAGCGGGAGGAAGGUGUGGACGACGUCAAGUCCUCACGCCCCUUACGCGAUGGGCUACACACGUGCCACAAUGGCAGUGACAAUGGGUUAAUCCCAAAAAACUGUCUCAGUUCGGAUUGUGGUUUGCAACUUGGCGGCAUGAAGUCGGAAUCGCUAGUAAAUGCGUAACAGCAUGACGCGGUGAAUACGUUUCCGGGCCUUGUACACACCGCCCGUCACACCAUGGGAGUUGGGUUUACCCGAAGACCGUGCACCAGCCUCUCGAGGAGGCAGCGGACCACGGUGAGCUCAGCGACUGGGGUGAAGUCGUAACAAGGUAGCCGUAGGGGA
rnacentral:rRNA from 1 species